rnacentral:rRNA from 1 species
AUGAGCUCGUCGACGACGUCCGGGCAGGGGCAGGGCGACGAGGCGCCGGACCUGGUGUGCGUGGUGGACUGCGUGCAUGGCAUGGUCGACGCCCUCUCCUGCGUCCGCUGGAACAAGCAUCAGGGCGCGGUGGUGGAGCUGUCGGAGCACGGCAUCGUGGUCACCGUGGAGGAGAGCGGCUGCCUCCAGGCCAAGGUCUACCUCAAGACCGAGUGCAGGUCAGUGGGGUCUCCAGAUGCAUGUAUACAUGCAGAAAUCAGAACCAGAAUUCCUGAUACUGUCGCCUGGGAUUACCAUUUUGAGCAUGCAGGGAAUACUCCAGUCACUUUUACUGUUAAGUCUGCCAUCCUGAAAGAAUCAAUUGAUGACCUUGAGUGGCCAGGCUCCAGCAUUCAGAUUCAAUUUCAUCCAGACCCCCCUUCAGUAAUAUUUAAAGGCGAAGGGCAUGGUGACUUGGAGAUUGAAUUCUCCUACUAUGCAAAUACCGAUCUUCUAAUUGCAUUCCAGUGUGACCAAGAACUGUCCUACAGGUAUAAGUACAAGUUUCUUCGUGCCACUACCUCGAAUGUUCCAAGUAGCGUCUUGAAGGAGAAUCGUGGGAGUAAAGUGACGAUUGGGAGGGGAGGGAUGCUCAAAAUCCAGCACCUGGUUUCAGUUGCAAGGCUAGGUACGCAAUCCUACCAUAAUUUUGCUGGAGGGGCUCAACAGCCAAGCCGGAUUGCUUUUAUCGAAUUCUUUGUGAAGCCGGAGGAGGAUGAUUAA